ensembl:lncRNA
UGAGGGGCUGGGAGUCUGUGGUUUUCAUAAACUAUUCUUAGGGUUUGUGUCUUUAGGGAAAUUGGUGUAAUACUAAAAGAUGGUAUUCGAACUUUUUUUCCUAAGAAGUUGCUCCGUGUUAACCUGUUCUACUUAUCCUGAUAUUCCCUAUUAGUUCCUCCUUUGGAUUUGAGUUUCUCCAGCAGCUGCUCCAAAUAAGUGCUGUUUCUGGGAAAGAAAGGAAUAUGCAGAGUUUAAGAGGGGGAUACACUAGUUCGGAUCUUCACCUUCUGCCCUCCCCCACCCCCUCAAGGAAUGAGCCACAGGUGGGAGGCAUCCUUUAUAAGCCAGUUCACUCAGAUCUUCUCACCCUACGAAAGCAGAAACCAGUUUAGGAAGCAAAGCAUUUAUUUGCGCUCAAAAACUUGUAAUUUGGGGAGCACAAAUUCAGGUAGAAGCCCAAAUAGUGCCCCGGUUACAGGAGAGGGGCUCAGGGUCUCAUGGGAGAAAGGGAGGAAGAUGAGGAAAGCUGUAUUAAAGAAGAGUUCAUUAGUGCUAGGUAAAGUAAGGUUAGGCUUGUACUUCAUAGGUUGGCUUGAGAUUCCGUCAUCAGGCAAAAGGCUAGACUUGUACUUCAUUGAUGGGUUAGCGAUUCUGUCAUUAGUAAAGUCUAAUUUCAUCAGUCCUUACAAACAGGAUAUUCUUCUUACUGACUUCUUGGCAUGUUGGCAGUUCAAUCCAGUUUGGAAGAUAACAUAAGAUAUGCAAGGCAGUUCCUCUGAAAUGGCUACUUGGACUCUUUUAAAACGGCUCCGCUCAUGUCAUCUUCCACAUCCCUUUAUGAGCUUAGCUGCAGGGGCCCCUCUGGACCUGAGGUGAUGGAGUAGUGUAGGAGCCUUUUCAUGAGAACUGGCGUGUGGAAUGAGAAAGUUUCAGGGCCACAGAGGGCAGGCCUGGGCAGUCAGAAGAUGUGGGGACAAACGAAAUUUUUGGUAAGAAGGUGGCCUUCUGUGCACCAUGCCUGUGGCAAGUGAACUUGCUAUAAGAUGCCCAUCCUAGGGUCAGAAAAACUCCGAGGCAAGAUGUUAAACUCAGUAAUUAUUUUUCUUUAGCACAUUCUGUAAACAUCGCUUGUUUCCUAAUCAAAAUAACUGUCAAUUCCUUCCUUCUCUCAAUAGGUCUUUCAUUUUCUUGACUUCCUGUCUUUACUCCUGCUGUUCCCUAGCCAGGAAGAUCCUUUCCCUUAUUUUCUGGCACAAAUUGAAAUUCUAUCCAUUAUUUAUAACCCAACUGAGGUGCUAAAUCUUUGUAGAGCCUUCUCUGAUCUCCUAGUUUGAUUCCACCUGCUCACCAAGUGUUUGUGAAGUACUUUCUGAGGUGCUAGUGGUUAGGAAAUUGAAAUAGUCAAGGUCUGGUCUUCUCCCUAGAGGACCUCACAUCCUGGUUAAUAUAUUGCUCUCUGCUUUGCUCUAUCAUCAUAUCGCUUGCACCUCCAUGUAAUACACACUCUGUUCACCUUGUAUUCAGUUGCUAUCACGCUUGUCUGUAUCACUGCUUUGUAAGCUCCUAAUCCAUUAAAGGGCACCCAUGCCUUCUCCACUUAAUCCACGCUCUCCUGUUAGGUUCAGAGCCCUGAACACAAGAGGGCCUGGUGUGGCUCAAGAGGGAGAGGCUGACUGAUGUGUUCAUGAGAAGAUGACUUCUCAUCCCCUUCCAGAAAUAACAAAUUAUAAAUGAUUAAUUUUGUCUGUGAUGCAUAAUGACUUGGCAUCAUGAGAGCUGUCAUUGUUUAAUGACAAUAAGACAAAACAAUCUUUAUUGGUCUCAUUAGUUCCUGGAAGAAGAUUCUGGAAGCAAAAGGGGCAUAAUGGCUGCCUGUCUCUCUCCCCUAAAAGGAACUGACAAACAAUUAUGGGGCUGGGACAACUGUGGAAGAUGAGUAUCUGUAGGGGAACAGAGGUUAACAAUAAGCCUAAAACCACUGGGCAGUCUUCUCGCUAGCAAAAUUCCAUAGGAAAAUAUCUGUCCCCAGCUGGGGCCCUUGGGGGGAGAUGGGUAACUAGAUAAUUCUCAUUGGUGGUAACUGUAGGGGGAGUGAGUGUAACAAAGGAAGGGUGGAGGCUGUUCUGAAGACACUGCUUCCUGGCCAUGUCCCUGGCAGGAUGGGGACAGUUAUCCCUCCAUCUGCUCCCAACUCCAUGCUUACCUGGAACCUCAAGAGUAUGCCUCUAAACCAGUGCUUCUCUCAAGUUGCUGUGUAUGCAGAUCUCCUGGGGAUCUUGUUAAAAUGGAGAUUCUGAUUCAGUAGGUCUGGGUUGGGGUCUGAGACUCUGCAUUUCCAUGUGUUUCCAGGUGAUACUCAUGCUGCUGUUACUGGGAACAUACUUUGACAAGAUUAAACACCUUAUAUCCAACAUCAUCAUCACCAGAGAACUUUUUAGAAAUGCAAAUUCUUGAGCCCCACCUCAGAAUUAGAAGCUUGUUUUAACAAGCCCUCCAGGAGAUGUUGGCACAUGCUCAAGUUUGAGAACCACUACUAUAGAAUAUACAGGAGCUAUUCUCGUUGGAAGGACAGGUGAGGUUUUAGAAAAAUGGUAUUUAACUAGCAUAGAACCCCAGGGGGGCAGACAUACCCAAGAUGUUAACCAGCCAACCUAUCUUCCAGGUGGGCCCUGGAAAAAGUUCUUUGCCCAGGAGGCAGCUAGCC